UGAGGAAUAUUGGUCAAUGGGCGAGAGCCUGAACCAGCCAAGUGGCGUGCAGGAAGACGGCCCUAUGGGUUGUAAACUGCUUUUAUGUGGGGAUAAAGUGAGCUACGUGUAGUUUAUUGCAGGUACCACAUGAAUAAGGACCGGCUAAUUCCGUGCCAGCAGCCGCGGUAAUACGGAAGGUCCAGGCGUUAUCCGGAUUUAUUGGGUUUAAAGGGAGCGUAGGCCGUGGAUUAAGCGUGUUGUGAAAUGUAGACGCUCAACGUCUGAAUUGCAGCGCGAACUGGUUCACUUGAGUAUGCACAACGUAGGCGGAAUUCGUCGUGUAGCGGUGAAAUGCUUAGAUAUGACGAAGAACUCCGAUUGCGAAGGCAGCUUACGGGAGCACAACUGACGCUGAAGCUCGAAGGUGCGGGUAUCAAACAGGAUUAGAUACCCUGGUAGUCCGCACAGUAAACUAUGGAUGCCCGUUGUUAGUUCACUUAAGAAUUAGCGACCAAGCGAAAGCAUUAAGCAUCCCACCUGGGGAGUACGCCGGCAACGGUG
rnacentral:rRNA from 1 species